ensembl:lncRNA
GUAGUAGUAGCAGUAGCAGUAGCAGUAGCAGUAGCAGUAGUAGUAGUAGUAGCAGCAGUAGUAGUAGUAGUAAUAGUAGUAGUAGCAGUAGUAGUAGCUGUAGCAGUAAUAGUAGUAGUAGCAGUGGUAGUAGUAGUAGCAGUAGUAGUAGUAGCAGUAGUAGUAGUAGUAGUAUCAAUAGUAGUAGCAGUAGUAGUAGUAGUAGUAUUAGUAAUAGUAAUAUAAAUAGUAGUAACCAUAUAAUAAUAAUUAUUAUUAACAACACUCUCAAGGGAAUUGAUGGCAAAGAGAUAAUGUUGCCUUGCAAGGCCAGCAAUGUCAUGUGUCACGACAGAAGGGAAUAGUACAAUUCUUUUUCUUUUUUUUUGUCUUCUUCAAAUUCUCCACACACAGUUAUCACUUACUGAGCACUUUCCCUUCAACAAAUGACUGUGCCCCAAAAAAAAACAGGCCCAUUGUGUCCAGAGCUAAACCAGGUAAAAGUGCCCUUUGUCCACGUAAGCAAUCCCAGUAAGCUACCGUGGCUGCUGGUGCUGCUUCUGCUGCUGGUGGUGCUGCUUCUGCUGCUGGUGGUGCUGCUUCUGCUGGUGGCGAUGCUUCUCUGGGCCCCCAUCCCCAUCCCUCUCCUGCUCCCCUCCUUCCUGGCUCAAAUGUGUGCGCUGGACGACUGCUGUGGCAGAAUCCCUCUGACUCAAAGCCAAGGGAGAAGGUUUUUUUUUUUUUUUUUUACACACGAGCUCUUGUCAUACAGAUUGUAUCCCACCAGAAGCCUUGGGUCCCCACCGGAGUUCUCUCCCACCCUAUCCUCCUGGCUUCCCCCAAGGCCUCUGUGUGGUUCUGACGGGCCUGAACAUCUGGCCCGUGUGACUGGCAGAGGGAGAGUCCGAGGGGUCUGCAGAUGGACCUUGGGAAAUCUCUGAAAAGUCCUUCAGUAUUGGUGCAGUUUAGAGGAAAGUGCUGAUGGCAUCGGGGCUGGCUACUGUAGCAGGGCUUCAAACUCCCAUUCAGCAGUUAGUUUCUAAUAAGUUCCUUUAAGUCGUUUCAGGAGAAAUUUACUGUGACAGAAUCAAACCCUCCUUCCUUCGCUGUGAAAUGUGUAAACACAACGCAAAUGCAGAGGUUUGUUGAUUCAGCCGUUUUUCUGUGUGUGUGUGUGUAGUUAUGUGUGCACAUUUUUGUGUGUGUGAGUAUUUCUGUGAGAGUGUGUGUGUGUGUGUGUGUGUGUGUGUG